UAAAAGGCUCUUUUCAGAGCCACCACCACAUCUCAGACAUCAUUC
rfam:Takifugu rubripes genomic scaffold, scaffold_3153